rnacentral:lncRNA from 1 species
UGCACUGCAGGUGAUGGCUUAAGUGUGUGCGUGUAAGAUUUGACCAAAAUAAACGUGUAAACUGUUGAAAUAUGAUUCAACCUCGAGACUACUCUAAAUCAUCUUGGAGAAGCUUAGACAAAAACUUGAAGACUGCUUGAAGUAGAAGAAAGGAAAAAGAGUAAGUAAACACAAGAAUCAACUAAGUGUUAAACAUUCUAGUUGAUGCAGAGGAUUUCAGGGGUUUAAGGAAAAGGCUAAGACUCUGUACCAAGUAGAGAUUUUGAAAGGAGCUUAUGAUGACACUUGUCAUCAUAUGAGAGGAGCUGUCUUAAAUCAUCAUCGACUAUAAAACCUGAAACAGAGCGUACAAAGAAGCGAGCUUGGUGAUUAGCGUGAUCAUUCGAUUUUAGAUCGUUGUGUGCGUAAGAGAGAUGAUGAUGAGAGAUAUCUUGUUAGAGUCUUCUCAAGUUAGGGUUCAUCUCUGAUUCAUUCUUCUUCUUUGUUCUUCGCUAUUUUUCUUCUUCUUUGUAACACGAUUGAUUUGUAAUCAUGAGAAAGUGAGAGAACACAAACACUUGUAUCUCUUGAUCUUUAGUGGAUGUUUGAGGGUACCGAUCCCUCACGAGACGUACCUGUUGUUGGCAGGGAACUCGUUAAAAUCGUUUGUGUCUUUGAUUGUGCUUUUUGGAUUCGUGAGGUUAUGUGUUUCGAUUAGGUGGAAUCGAUGCUUUGUUUCAUAACAUAAACCAUCAAAUUUUCAUAUGUUAAAUUUACAGUAAGAAUGUCAUAGGAAGAUGUUGGUUCACUUUUUAAACCUUAAAUUGUUUGUCUUACUCAAAAUAUUUUAAAUCUACUAGUAUGUGUAUGCUCACAAGAAAAACUUUAGAUUUAUUAACACAAUUUUUUUUAUAUACCUUUAUUCGUUUUCUUUCUUUUUCCCUCCUUUUAUAUCAUCGCUUUAGUCCAUCCACUAAGUUAAAGCUAUUCAUUAUGAGUGGCUCCAGGCUACAGGUAUCUCUAAUUUUCAUUAGUUAGUAUAAUUUUAUUAAAAUCAUUUACUUUAAUCAACCGCCGAAUUUACGAAAUACAAAAUCCCAAUUUAUCUGAAAUAUUGAAAUGAAAAGAAUAUCUUAGAUCUGAAUUUUAAAUAGUAAAAAAUUAACUUACUAAGAAUUGAGAGUGGAAUGUGACUGUUAUAGCUUUAUCUUUUUAUCUUUACUUUCAUAAAAUCAAAGUUAAAGACUUGGCAAUCAGCAAACACUAAAAUUACAUAACUUUACCCUCCACUAUCAAAAGUUACAUUGAGCCACCCAACUACUUUAUAAUCUCGUCGUUUACACCCCUACAAUUGUUAAAAUUCAUUAAUAAAAUCCCUCAGAUUGAUACUAAAACUUCAUCAUAACUCACUAAUUCCCUUAAAGCUUCAAGAACGAAAAAAUGUACGUGACGAGAACAUUGUCGCAGUUCAGAAAAUAUCAGAAGACGCUCUCGGAAGAGUCACCGGAAGGUCCGUUCUCCGGCGUUUUGGUUAUCACAGAUGAAGAAGCUGAAACAGAGGAUACGUUCUGUUUCGGGAUGUGUACGAGGACAAAAAUAGAGAAGCUUCCGUUACCUCAGGACAAGAUCUUAUCAGUUGUUCACUUAGACAGUUCUGGUAACAGAGAGACUUCGGUUAAGAAGGUCUUGUUCAUACCGGCUCUCGAUCAACCUUUGUCUUCCAAUCGGUAUUACGUUGUUCACGCUAGAGGCAGACACAAAGGGUAAGAUCCAAAAAAAUACGAGAAAUUGUAAGUUAUAAGGCUUUAUUAUAAAGAAGAUUGAGGAAUUAGUGUUGAGAGAUCUUCUCUGUUUUUCUUUGCAGGAAAGUUUCCGUGUGUUCUAGAGAGAUAGAGAAAGGGGUAUGUUGUUUUCCAGAUAUCUUGCAUGACAAGAAACCUAAACCUCUGGAUCCAAGAAACAUAUAUCAGACGGUUAAGAUCAACCGGCAUCACGACCGGACAUUCUAUGCAAAAUCUGUGGCGCCAGACGGUACACCGCCAACAUUUCUCAAGAAGAAAGGAUGGGAGCUACGAACCUCGAGGAGCCUACAUCCGAGGAGACCUAGAGAAGCUCUUGGCCUAGACGAGGAACUAAGAGCUCGUCUCCCAGCAUUUGGAUUUCCAGUUUCUACAAUUCGGUCAGGAAGUGUGAUAGUUGGAGAAUGGUAUUGCCCUUUUAUGUUUGUGAAGGAGAAUUGUAGUGUAAGUCAACAAAUGAGGAAGUCAAUGUUCUAUAGGAUCACACUAUCCCAAUACUGGGAACGAAUUUACCAUUGCGGAAACAAUGAUCUUGAUGAAAACAAUGAUGAAAACGAAGAAGAAGUUGUGAGAGUAGAGGCUAACGUCGUGAGAGAGGCCAACUAUGUGAAGGGUAUGGAGGCGGUUAAGGGAGAGAAAGAAGGGCAUGGAGGGUUUUAUUGGUAUAGGCAGGUUCAAGGUCCACGGGGACCGGGGGAGAGGAGGAGGAAGACGGGUUUAAGGUCUCCGGUGGGGCUGAGUUUUGUGGUGGUAGAAAGGAUGAGAAGGGUAAUGGAGGAAGGAGGGUGGGUGGGAGGAGGAAGGAAAGUGGUGAGGGUGGAGAGAGAUGAACCAAUCAGGGUUUGUAGAAGAGAUGGUAGGAAUAUGAAUGGUAACAAUGAUAGAAAUUGGAGGAGAUUUGGGUGUUAUGUGUUGGUGGAGAGUUUUGGGCUGAGAAGAGCAGAUGGAGUUUUGUUGGUUAAAUGUGUAUUUAGACAUACUAAUAGAUUGAGAUGUAACUGGGAGUGA